rnacentral:rRNA from 1 species
CGAGGAUUCCCCUAGUAACGGCGAGUGAACGGGGAAAAGCCCAGCGCUGAAUCCUUCGGCCACUGGUCGCUUGGAAUUGUAGCGUAUAGGUGCGGCCGUCCGGCCGUUUCGCUUACCCAAAGUCCCCUUGAGCGGGGCUAUUGUCCAAAGAAGGUGCUAGACCUGUACGGGUGGUGAGAUGGUCGGUUGGUUGCUCCUUGGAGUCGGGUUGCCUGGGAUCGCAGCCCAAAGUUGGUGGUAGACCUCAUCUAAGGCUAAAUAUGGCCACGAAACCGAUAGCAAACAAGUACCGUGAGGGAAAGUUGCAAAGAACUUUGAAGAGAGAGUUCAAGAGGGCGUGAAACCGCUGAGAUUGAAACGGAUAGAGUUGACGGAACUCGGCUGCAUUCAUUCGGUCGGCCUAGCGGCCCGAUGGGACUGGCUUCCUCGAUGAGGGCAGUUCUGUCGGUAGCUGUUGGGUGCUUGAUUGGUGUAUUUGCGGCUGGUAUGCGCUGAGAGCCUUGUGGUCGCAUGUUGACGAGUGCGUAGUGGACCAUUCCUUACGGGCGUGGAACCCUCCGUGCUUUGAGGCAUGUUGGCCAUGAGGUUUCGAACGUAGCGUCUCCGCUAUGGUGCGUCGGCCCUGUCGAGCUGUAGCUGCUGUGGUAUGGUCGCGUGCGACCUGCUGUAGUUGGCGAUGGCGUGACGGGGUGCGGGCGCGUCGAGACGUCCAUCUCGGUGUGAACGUUGACCACCUAUCCGA